UGGGGAAUCUUGGACAAUGGGGGCAACCCUGAUCCAGCCAUGCCGCGUGAGUGAAGAAGGCCCUAGGGUUGUAAAGCUCUUUCAACGGUGAAGAUAAUGACGGUAACCGUAGAAGAAGCCCCGGCUAACUUCGUGCCAGCAGCCGCGGUAAUACGAAGGGGGCUAGCGUUGUUCGGAAUUACUGGGCGUAAAGCGCGCGUAGGCGGAUUGAUUAGUCAGGGGUGAAAUCCCGGAGCUCAACUCCGGAACUGCCUUUGAUACUGUCAAUCUAGAGUUCGAGAGAGGUGAGUGGAAUUCCGAGUGUAGAGGUGAAAUUCGUAGAUAUUCGGAGGAACACCAGUGGCGAAGGCGGCUCACUGGCUCGAUACUGACGCUGAGGUGCGAAAGCGUGGGGAGCAAACAGGAUUAGAUACCCCGGUAGUCC
rnacentral:rRNA from 1 species